rnacentral:lncRNA from 1 species
GAACCCUUCUUGAAACAUGUAGAGCCUUACUUUUUCAAUCUGGCCUACCUGUGUCUUUCUGGUGGGAUUGUCUGUUGACUACUACUUAUCUCCUUACAGAAUACCAUCCAGAAUUCUUCACAAUAAGUCUCCUAAUGAAAUUUUGUAUGGAAAGCUCCAUCCUAUUCUCAUUUGAGGGCAUUUGGGUGCCUUGCUUAUGCUGC